UCUUGAUUUUUAACAAAAAGUUGGUAAACUAUAUAUUUAAAUUUUAACAGGUGGCCGAGGACUUUGAGCAUGGCUAGGGUACUUUGUGAGCUUCAGUUUGAGUUGCAGCAUUGUUCAUUCAGUAGCCCGGUUGCUGAAGUUAAGCAGGAGGAUUACAUUCCGAAGACACCAGCAGGAAAAGAUUUGAAGAGGAGGAGGAAAUUGUCGAAAGUUUCCACCUCAUUAACUAACAAAUUUCAGAGGUUAAAGCAAACUUGGAAUAAGAUUUGGAUUCGAAACUGAAUUGUGUUAGAAAAUCAGAAGAGAAUUUGAACCCAAGCUUUCCUCAGGAUGACAUUGAAGAUGAUUCAUGUGCAGCGCAUGAGCUGUCUACAAGUGAUUUGUGUUUAGUGUCUGAUCUUUAGUCUAAAGGGAAAGAAACAUAUGCUAGUGAUAGGAUUGGUAAUUUUCCGAGUCUAGGAGAACUAGCAAAUAUUGAUGAAAGUUUUCUGGCAAAGCGCUGCAAUCUUGGCUACAGAGCAGGUCGUAUAAUAAAACUUGUCCUGGCUAUUGUUGAAGGCAGGAUUCAGUUAGAACAACUUGAAGAAAUUUGCAGUAGUGAAGCAAGUUUAGCCAGCUAUGAUAAGCUGACUAAACAGUUGAGCAAGAUUGAUGGAUUUGGUCCAUUUACAUGUGCCAAUGUGCUUGUAUGCAUGGGAAUUUACCAUGUGAUUCCAUCAGAUUCCUAAACAAUCAGGCAUUUAAAGCAGGUCCAUAAAAGAAAUUGUACCAUUAAAACAGUUCAAAAUGACGUUAAAAUGAACUAUGGAAAGUAUGCACCAUUUCAGUUCUUGGCAUACUGGUCAGAAGUAUGGCACUUCUACGAGGGAAGGUUUGGGAAGCUAAGUGAAAUGCCUUACUCCAGUUACAAACUUAUAACAGCCAGUAAUAUGAGAACCUAAAAAACCAGAAAGUUAAGAGGGCUUCUAUAUAUCUUUUGAUGUGGAAACCAUUCAGGCUUCAGCUAUGGACUCCGGACUCUGCAGGCUGCAGGAUGUGCUCAAUUUCUUUGACUACCUCGCACAUAGAGCUGUUGGUUCCCAGUUCCUGUACACACAUCAUUGCCAGUGUCCAAACUGAUGGCAGGGAUCAAGAAUCUUUGAUACAUCGCAGUCAUCAACUCUCUUAACAUGUAGAUUCCGAGUUCUAUCGGAUUUCAUCAAAUGCAAAGCUAUAAUCAUCAAUGUCUAUUGUUAAUUAUCGAGUGGUGAAAUAUUUUGGAUUCGAGUAGCGCUAAUCAUCAAAUGCAAACUUUGUCAGCUUAUCAAGUUUGAUAGUUUGUCUUCUUGACAUGAUUAUAGAA